rnacentral:tRNA from 1 species
GCCCGUGUGGAUUAAUCGGACCGCGCGCUGGACUCACAUUCCAGAGGUCGCCGGUUCGAAUCCCGCGGCGGGCA